AUUGAACGCUGGCGGCAGGCCUAACACAUGCAAGUCGAACGGUAACAGGAAGAGCUUGCUUCUUUGCUGACGAGUGGCGGACGGGUGAGUAAUGUCUGGGAAACUGCCUGAUGGAGGGGGAUAACUACUGGAAACGGUAGCUAAUACCGCAUAACGUCGCAAGACCAAAAAGGGGGACCUUCGGGCCUCUUGCCAUCGGAUGUGCCCAGAUGGGAUUAGCUAGUAGGUGGGGUAACGGCUCACCUAGGCGACGAUCCCUAGCUGGUCUGAGAGGAUGACCAGCCACACUGGAACUGAGACACGGUCCAGACUCCUACGGGAGGCAGCAGUGGGGAAUAUUGCACAAUGGGCGCAAGCCUGAUGCAGCCAUGCCGCGUGUAUGAAGAAGGCCUUCGGGUUGUAAAGUACUUUCAGCGGGGAGGAAGGGAGUAAAGUUAAUACCUUUGCUCAUUGACGUUACCCGCAGAAGAAGCACCGGCUAACUCCGUG
rnacentral:rRNA from 1 species